rnacentral:misc_RNA from 1 species
UUAAGUUCAGCGGGUAGUCCUACCUGAUUUGAGGUCAAGCAUUCAAAAGUAGUCUCACAAAGUAGAGACAAUUAGAAGCUGAACAUUACUGAGAGCAAUCCCCUCGCCAGUGCAGAUAAUUUAUCACACUUGUGGCAGAUCGCAAACGGUUCCGCUAAUGUAUUUCAGAGGAGCUGACCUCAAACGAGUGGCCAGCAAGC